rnacentral:snoRNA from 1 species
CCCCUCUCAGGUUUGCACAUGGAGAGUUUCCAGUACUCUACCAGUCUCAGCUAUGGGAGGGAGAGUCAAACAGAGGCCUGUCCAUUCCAUUCUUAGCUUGGGCAGUGGCUAGCGAGUGGAAGUCACUCUGCUACAAGU